rnacentral:rRNA from 1 species
CUCUCGGCAACGGAUAUCUAGGCUCUCGCAUCGAUGAAGAACGUAGCGAAAUGCGAUACUUGGUGUGAAUUGCAGAAUCCCGCGAAUCAUCGAGUUUUUGAACGCAAGUUGCGCCCGAAGCCACUCGGCCGAGGGCACGUCUGCCUGGGCGUCACGCACCGUCGCC